UCUUAAUGUAUGCUAUGUAAUAGGUACUGUAAACUAACAGAAAUACAUUUAAAUAAUAAAACAUGAAUAUAUUAACUACUUUAAUCUAACAAAUACUGCAAAAAUUUUGUCACAGAGAAUGCAUUCACUUUGUGGCAACAUGGAAUAGUCCAAGGAGAAAGUAGAUUUUGAUCCAAAACAAUAGCUCCUUUUACUCUGAUUUAUGUAAAUUUGACUCAUGUACCGGUCUACAAAGCAAUUUCAUUACAUACAAACAUGUUUAAGAUAUUUUUCUGUCCUUUUUCUUUGUUCCAAGGCGUAUUUGGGAGAGCAUGUGGUAAAUUAUGCAACUGUUGCACAUUCAAGUCUCUGUAGUUCGCAAGAAAAACAACAAAGAUGGCGGAGGCCACAUACACGGCCGGGGCAAAGAGCCAGUCAGUUGGGCUCAUACAUAGGGUAUGUGCCCAUAAACCUGAGAAAAAACUCUUCUGAAAGAAUUUGGAAGAGGGCACUGGAGUCUCGGGGGUGGUGGAUUUCAUUCACCCUCCUGCUGGAAGUGUAGUCCAGCCCCUAGUGCAGUGCGGGUGCGGACAUGCCCCAAAGGACUGGAUUGAUGUCGAGUACUACACUAACACAACGCUGUCACAGCUGAGGGAAUUCGGGCUGGAUCAUAUAAAAUCCAGUGCACCGGGGAUGAGGCUGGCUCAAGUGGUGCUACGCAAGAGCAGGAACAGCAAGUCAGCGCUUUUGAUGUCUUAAUGUCACGAAUCAAAGUGCCACCACCCAAGAAAACAAGGAGUGCUGGACAGAGUGAAAGCAUAACAAGAAAAGAUGAACUCUACAGUGACCUUGUGUCAGACUUCACAUCACGUGGUUGCCUGUUUGCCAGGGAUCAGGCAGCAAGCGAAGGAGCGUACAUAAUUCAGGCAGCAUGGCAGAUGUUCGCCGCCGUCUUGCACAAGAGCACCCUGAGCUUGCCGAAGGAUGGAGGUGUUCCAUCGAAUCUGUGCAAGCUUUGCUGCUUACAAGGUUCAGUGGACUUGCCCUGAAGGACAAACCAUUUCAGGUUAUGGAUCCUGUGUCGGAAGUAGAGAUUGUUUGAAGCGCUGAAGGCCUUGUUUCCAGACCUCGACGUCACGAAGCUUCAGAAGCAGCACACAAAGAAGUCGAGAACGUACAACAACUGGCUACAACAACACUGCCGCCAAACACAUGCA